UGUUAAAUAUUAAGCAUGGCUUGAUUCCCUGACUCUAGCUCAAAAGAAAAAAAAUGUUAAGUGACAUCCCAACUGUCUUAAAAAUGUUUACAGAAACCAUUAAAUGAAUGUGAGUAGUAGCUGAGGAAUGAUGAAAAAGUGAUGGUAAUGAUAUGGUGCAAGUGGAUGGAAAAAAUAUAUGUAUAAUGCUGAGAUUUUCAAAUGCAUGGAAAAUCUUAUUCUGUGGGCCUUGUCUGAAUUUUAAACUGAUACCAAGAAUAAAAAAAUAUAGUAGCACAAGUCCAUUGACACCUGGAGGGUCAGGCCUAGAAAGCUAACCUUCAAAGUGCAAAUUUUAACAAUGGAAUGUUUUAGCAGGGACUUAAGGACAAUCCUCUGUCUUUUUCUUGUUGAAAAGACCUAAGAUGUUCAGGAAGUAUUUAUUCCUGGCCAGAAUUAUUUCAGUUUCUUGGUAAAACAAAAAUAUUUAGCCACAAUUACCACCCACUCAUUCACAUACCCAGAACCAUUCUUAGGGGUGUUUGCUGGGAGAAAAAGCCCUAAUCUAUGUAUCAUGUAAUGGAACUCUUAUUUAUAAUCUAAGUUUUUUGAAUCCACUACUUUAAAUACCAAUAUGCACCUCUCUUAUCCCCUCCCUCUCCACCCAUCUACCCCAUACACCCCCAGUGAACCUAGGUAUUCUAAUGUCUUUGUGUUUUCUAAGCCUCAUGAAUAAGACUGUUGAAUACCACCUCCACCGGAUCAAAAUUAACACCUGGUGCACUUUCUACAGCACCUUUUUUCUUCUCCACAAGUGAGAGGAAUCUUGAUACUUUCAAG
rnacentral:lncRNA from 1 species